UACGGGGGGGGCAAGCGUUGUUCGGAAUUACUGGGCGUAAAGGGCGCGUAGGCGGUCCGCUAAGUUGGAUGUGAAAACUCUGGGCUUAACCCAGAGCCUGCAUUCAAAACUGACGGGCUAGAGUUCUGGAGGGGGUAGCGGAAUUCCUGGUGUAGCGGUGAAAUGCGUAGAUAUCAGGAGGAACACCGGUGGCGAAGGCGGCUACCUGGACAGAAACUGACGCUGAGGCGCGAAAGCGUGGGGAGCAAACAGG
rnacentral:rRNA from 1 species